AUACUUGUUGGAUAUGUGGUAUC
rnacentral:siRNA from 1 species